rnacentral:lncRNA from 1 species
CUCUCAUUAUAAUAACAAAAUGUAUUCAUAUAUGCAGUGGAGUUAUAUGAGAGAUAUGAUCCUGAAGCAAAUUCAUAGCAACUAUGGUCAAACCUGCACUUGUGAGCACUAGAGCAACACUCAGCUCCAUGAGAUGUUCAUCCUCCACAGUACUGGAAACUUAGCUCUCCCAACAGAUGGCAAAAUUGUGCCUCAUGUCCCGACCUCCCUCAGGACCUUGUACUCAUUGAGGAAUUUGGGAAACAAAAACAACUAACAGUUGAAAGCAGAGUGUAAAAUUGUAGAGUAUAGAACAGAGGAAACUGGCUAUAGGAAAAUGGACAAUCUUGCCUCUACCAAAAACAGCUCUCAGAGGUGAGUGGUUUAAAAUUGACUUGGUGACUAGUGGGCCAGAUCUGCUUUUGUAAACUGGAUCUGCCACUUUCUUGCAGUGAACUCUUAGGUGAUAUUUUUAGCCUUUUUGAGCUUCAUUUGGCUCAACUUUUAGUAGGGGAACAACAGUAUCUACUUCAUAAGUUUGAAAUAAGAUAAUGAUUAUAAUAACUUAGCAUUGUGUUGGUACAAAGUUAGUAAAUUACAUCCAUAGACCCUUUGACUGAUUUUUUUCCCCACUUUCCCUUAC